rnacentral:rRNA from 1 species
GAUGAACGCUGGCGGCAGGCCUAACACAUGCAAGUCGAACGGCAGCGGGGGGUAGCUUGCUACCCCGCCGGCGAGUGGCGGACGGGUGAGUAAUGCCUGGGGAGCUGCCCAAUCGAGGGGGAUACCAGUUGGAAACGACUGCUAAUACCGCAUACGCCCUGAGGGGGAAAGGUGGGGAUCUUCGGACCUACCGCGAUUGGAUGCAUCCAGGUGGGAUUAGCUAGUUGGUGAGGUAACGGCUCACCAAGGCGACGAUCUCUAGCUGGUCUGAGAGGAUGACCAGCCACACUGGAACUGAGACACGGUCCAGACUCCUACGGGAGGCAGCAGUGGGGAAUAUUGCACAAUGGGGGAAACCCUGAUGCAGCCAUGCCGCGUGUGUGAAGAAGGCCUUCGGGUUGUAAAGCACUUUCAGCGAGGAGGAAAGGUUGGCAGCUAAUACCUGUCAGCUGUGACGUUACUCGCAGAAGAAGCACCGGCUAACUCCGUGCCAGCCGCCGCCGUAA